rnacentral:rRNA from 1 species
GUGACAGGUGGUGCAUGGUUGUCGUCAGCUCGUGUCGUGAGAUGUUGGGUUAAGUCCCGCAACGAGCGCAACCCUUAAGCUUAGUUGCCAUCAUUAAGUUGGGCACUCUAAGUUGACUGCCGGUGACAAACCGGAGGAAGGUGGGGAUGACGUCAAAUCAUCAUGCCCCUUAUGAUUUGGGCUACACACGUGCUACAAUGGACAAUACAAAGGGCAGCGAAACCGCGAGGUCAAGCAAAUCCCAUAAAGUUGUUCUCAGUUCGGAUUGUAGUCUGCAACUCGACUACAUGAAGCUGGAAUCGCUAGUAAUCGUAGAUCAGCAUGCUACGGUGAAUACGUUCCCGGGUCUUGUACACACCGCCCGUCACACCACGAGAGUUUGUAACACCCGAAGCCGGUGGAGUAACCUUUUAGGAGCUAGCCGUCGAAGGUGGGACAAAUGAUUGGGGUGAAGUCGUAACAAGGUAGCCGUAUCGGAAGGUGCGGCUGGA